GAAUUGAGUGCAUCCAAUCCCAUCAGAUAAUAUUGAAAUUUCUCCCAAACGCGCCCCUGGUUGCGUAACUUAUCGCAGCAGUCACCACGCUCGAGGCGUACCCGAUCUCCACAACCUUUUCAGUCGCCGCCGACAAUAAGCUUCUCUCACGCGGCGUAGGUUAACCUCAGAUUGGCUUCUACCUGAACACGAAGAUGAUAAACACGCAGGAAAGUGGAUCGGGGCCGUUGGUGCAAAGCCCUCGAUCCCCACCGUCACAGUCGCAGUAUAUAACCGUAUCCGUGCUCGAUCCAGCUAAGAUGGGAAAUGGAGUUCAAGCUUACAUCUCCUACAAAGUUAUCACCAGGACCAACUUCCCUGAAUAUGAUGGCCCUGAAAAAAUUGUUAUCCGAAGGUACAGUGACUUUGUUUGGCUAAGAGAUCGCCUUUUUGAAAAGUACAAGGGUGUCUUCAUCCCUCCUGUUCCCGAGAAGAGCACUGUAGAGAAGUUCAGAUUCAGUGCUGAGUUCAUUGAGAUGAGGCGUAAAGCUUUGGAUGUGUUUGUCAACCGUGUAGCUUCGCAUCAGGAGCUUCAACACAGUGAGGAUUUAAGAAUCUUUUUGACAGUUGAUGAGCAGACAAUGGAAAGAGCAAGAUCCCAGGAAACUGGUAUUUUCAAGAAAAAGCCAGCAGAUUUGAUGCAGAUUUUCAAGGAUGUACAGUCCAAAGUGAGUGAUGUUGUUCUCGGAAAAGAGAAACCGGUUGAAGAAUCAAGCCCUGAAUACGAGAAGCUUAAGAAUUAUGUUUUUCAGCUCGAAGAUCACCUAGCUGAAGCGCAGAAGCAUGCUUACCGUCUUGUGAAGAGACACAGGGAGUUAGGACAAUCUUUAUCAGACUUUGGUAAGGCAGUGAAGCUACUAGGUGAGUGUGAAGGAAAUGCUCUUGGCAAGGCUUUUUCUGAACUGGGUGCGAAAUCAGAGAUUUUGUCAGUUCAUCUGCAGAAAGAGGCUCAGAACCUCCUGAUGAAUUUUGAAGAACCUUUGAAAGAUUAUGUGCGUUCAGUGCAGUCUAUUAAGGCAACAAUAGCAGAAAGAGCAAAUGCAUUCAGGCAACAUUGUGAACUGGCUGAAGCAAUUAAGUUUAAGGAAAUAGAUAUGAACAAACUCAGGUUAACCCGUUCAGACAAACUGUACGAUGCGGAGCAUGAAUACGAGGAGCUAAAAGCUGAGGGUGCAGAAGCCUGGAGAAGGUUCGAGAAAAUUGUGAAGCUAAUGAAUGAAGAAAUCGUUCGAUUCCAAGAACAAAAGACAGUAGAUUUAGGUGUGGCUUUCCAUGAAUUUGCCCUGGGUCAGGCACAGCUGGCCAACAGUAUUGCCAGUGCUUGGCGCAGUCUUCUUCCAAAGCUUGAAGCUUGCUCCUCGUAGUGAAAUGAAGAAUCAGUAGAGAGAUAUACUCUCAUCUGAGGAGGAUGCAUGGCGACCACUCACGUUUCUCCCAAGACUGGAAUGAGGAUCUCACGAUGACGAAUAAAGAGGAUAUGCGUGUUAUAAAUAAUCCAAUUUAUUGCAUUAUUCCUAUUUCAUACCACACUCAUUUUCUUGAAAUACUGUACCCCAAUUAAAGAUGUACAAACAAGACAAGUUAGACAGGGAUUAAAAAGAUGAUAAUAAUAUACAUCUUUCGCACUA